rnacentral:hammerhead_ribozyme from 1 species
AUCCAGAUGACGAGUCCCAAAUAGGACGAAAUGACCAUCAUAGAU